rnacentral:lncRNA from 1 species
UCGCACGCGCGCCCCGCCCACUGCCUUCUCUCUCACCUCACUCUCUCCCUCUCUGGCUCUCUCCCACUCCACUCUCCUCCCACUCCUCUCCUCUCCUGGCCGGCUGGCGGCGGCCCCUCCCUCCCUCUCCCUCGCUCUCCCUCGGCUGCGGGCGGGGAGAAGGGCGGCAACAGCGGCGGCGGUGGGCGACCACGGCGGUGCGCAGAUCCGGAGGCGCGCGGCAUGGGUGCUGCGGAUCCGAUGGCGGCGGCCCCUCCUUCUCCCUCGGUUGCGGGCGGGGAGAAGGGCGGUGACAGUGGCGGCGGCGUGCAGAUCCAGCGGCACGCGGCAUGGGAGCGGCGGAUCCGGCGGCGGUGGCCCCUCCCUCCCUCUCCCUCGGCUGUGGGCGGGGAGAAAGGCGGUGACAGCGACAGCGGCGGCGGCGCGUAGAUCCGGCGGCAUGGGAGCAGCGAAUCCGGCGGCAGCGGCCCCUCCCUCCCUCUCCCUCGUUCUCCCUCGGCUGCGGGCGGGGAGAAGGGUGGUGGCGGCGGGCGACCACGGCGGCGCGCGGCCCCUCCCCUACCUCCCCUUGCAGAUUCGGCAGCGGGAGGCGGUGGGACGGAGGCGGUUCUGGAGGUGCGGCGGCCGGUUUCGGCGUCAGGUGAGUUUAUUCCCCUCCCCUCCCUCUCCAUGGGCUCCCCUCCCCAUCCGGCAGAGGAGAGGGGCGUCUUCGGCCGGCGACGGGAGCGGGUGGCGGAUCCGUAGCGGCGGCGGCGGAUUAGGGUUAGGGUUUUCUUUUUCUUUUUUUUUGAUUUUUUUAUUUCUGCCCGCACGUGAUAAUCCGAUUUUCGCGUGCGGGUGAGGCACCCACAGGCGAAAAUCAUGAUUUUCCCAGACCCGCCCGCACACAAAAAUCAAAUUAGCCGCAAAAAAAUCGGUUGUGUAGUAGUGUCAGUCCUUCAGUCCCGACUCCUGAGUCCCUGAGUGGCUGAGUCCUGAGCAACUUACAAAUGCCCGCGAACAGGGUGCCGCCGCCAGUGAUAUACUGAUAUUGGCCAUGCAACGAUCCAGCUGGAUCCAUUGCACGCUAGGAAUAGGAUACACCGGGAAUCUUGGCGGAACGCUCUACGAUCCUCUGAUGUCUAUCAUCGAUCUUGCACCGCAAUGCUCGUCUGCUGCGUGAUGAUCGGUGCCGGCUGCGUGCUGUGUGUGACAGGGUGAUCAGGCCCCCUCCGUGUGUGACAGACAGAUCAACACAGCGCCCAUGAGAAGUACCGAGUACGUACGUGUGCACCCUCCGUACGUGCGUGCUUCUGUUGAGAUCCACCCAGAGGAAUUACUUGUCAAACUUUUGAGUGCUUGGUUAGUUGGUUUCGUAUUUCUUGUGUUUCAAAAUAAAUCAUUAAAUUUAUCAUAAAAUAAAUUAAUAUUUACCUUCUUAUCAUCGACCUGCAAAUUGAGAAAUUUUAUUCCUUCAAUGCCACGUGCCUAUCCAUCAAUAUAAUUAUAUAAAUUAUUUAUUAACUUUAAAUAUUUUGGUCCAUUGCCUUCCUCCCUAUUUCUAAUUUGAGAAUGUAUGGUUUAAUUUUUUUUUACAAAGGUAGUAAGGAAAAAAAACAGGAAAAAAAAUAACCACGUAGAUUUUUACGGUGACAUGUAAUGCAUUUCCCUUCCACUUCAUUCGGGGGAAAUUCCCUACCUACCUGGAAGUUUUCCCUGCCCCUAAUUGGAAACCGAGGGGAAAAUGUUCCGGCGAGGAAAAAAAAACUAAAAAUAUGAAAAAGGGAUAUUACAAAAACUGGAAAUAUAAAAAGUAUAAAACACGAAAAAUACAAAAAAAACGAAACUUGCUUGCAGAAAAUCCAGGAAAAAUAUAAAACUCCUAACAAUUCAAUGACGAAUAUAAAAAUAUCAUAACAAAUAUACAUAAAUAUGGAAAUGAGGAAUUCUUUACAUGAUCAUAAAAAACAAAAAAGUAUUUAUAAAUUAGUCCUUGAAAAUUUUAAAUGAUCAGAAAAAAAAAUCCUGGUCCUUCAAAAGUUUCGAAACCAUCAUCAACAUUACAAAUCAUGUACUCAGACUGUUUCAAACUAUAACCAUUUCUAGCAUUUAAAAUUUAUUUCAACAUAUAAGCCCUUUCACAAUUCAAAAUCUGUUCUGAAAAUAAGCACUCUAACCCUAUUUGGAGUAUUAUUUGUCACCUCUCAAUCAAAUGCUUUCCAUCUUACUUCGAGCCACUCUCUCACUCUUGUUUUCAGUUUUCUUUUUAUUUUUAGUUUUCGACAUAAUUUAUCCUCCCCUAUCUUUACCUCGAUUUCCAUUAACACACGCUUUUUAAACUACUAACGGUGUGUUCCGUGCGAAAACUUUCUAUGUUGAAGUUGAUUUAAAAUACCACAUACAUCCGUUGUCAAGUUUGUAAUAAUUAAAACCUCAUUAAUCAUAUGCUAAUAGCUAUCCCGUUUUACAUGUACCAACUUUAUGUUUAUCUUCAUGAGUUUCAAAUACAAGAUAUAUGGAUAUCAUGAGAUAGGCUACAUCAGCAUCAGCAUACAUCUAUCUCUCCUACCAAAUUGCGUACUCCUAGCAUUCAUUUUACUCAAUUCAAGAGGCUACUUCUACUCCCUCUGUCCCAUAAAAACCAAUCUAGUAUUAGAUGUAAUAAAUUCUAGUACAAUGAAUCUAGACAUAUCUAUGUCCAUAUUUUAUACUAGGAUGUACUACAUUCAAUCCUAGAUUUAUUCUUUUUUUACCAAGGGAGUACGUCAGUACUAUCAGUCAUAUAUAAUAGGGUUAAUUAGAUACGUGCCAUUAAAAAUUUACCGGUUUCGAAAUAUACUAUUACUAUUUGCGUAUUUGUAACGAUGCCACUACUAUUUGUUUGUAAUCUCAGCGAUACCACUAAGAUACGUAUUUUACAUAUAUUAGACGAAAAUGCCCUUAUCUUCAACCCCUCUCUCUCUCUUCCCUCAUCCUCUCUCCUCUCUGACCAGAAUCUCAUCGGAGCCGACGGUCCUCGUUGCUUCGGUGUUGUCGCCCAGGACUCGUCGGGCGAGCGCGGCGGUCACCGUCUCCAUCACCGACGGCUGCCACGCGUGCGCCGCC